GUUAGUUAGUGCUGCUUGGGCCUGACCAGGCACACACACAUCCUGGGACCAGAAACACACUCACCAUUGACAACUCUCUUGCACUGAAGCAUCUUGAGGUCAAUCAGCUCCUCACAGUACACGAUGUCCGCUCCAUAGUCCAGGGCCAGCAGCCGCAUUGGAAGAGUGCCUACCCGAACCAUAGGGGCUAAGAUGAGUUUGUUGCGGUAGCACAGUGAGAG